AUUGGUCAUCCAAAAGAAAAAUGGCCGCAUUUUCUCGAAAAUAACGCCAUUUUUUUGCCACUGUGAACUGUCUUGUACUGUUGUAUUAAUUUUAAAAAUGUUAUUGCCUUUUUUCUUCGGAAAAGAGAUAAUGAAAGA
rnacentral:misc_RNA from 1 species